rnacentral:rRNA from 1 species
UACGUAGGGCGCAAGCGUUGUCCGGAAUUAUUGGGCGUAAAGAGCUCGUAGGCGGUUUGUCGCGUCUGCUGUGAAAACCUAAGGCUCAACCUUGGGCUUGCAGUGGGUACGGGCAGACUAGAGUGCGGUAGGGGUGACUGGAAUUCCUGGUGUAGCGGUGGAAUGCGCAGAUAUCAGGAGGAACACCGAUGGCGAAAGGCA